rnacentral:tRNA from 1 species
GUCACGAUAGCUCAAGUGGUAGAGCAGCGGAGUACCGAGCCGAAGGUCGUGGGUUCGAAUCCCGAUCGUGACA